CUUUUUCUCUACCUCCUCCUCUUCUUCUUCUUCUCUUCUUCUUCUCUUCUUCUUCUUCUUCUCUGUAGAAGAUCCACACGUCGCCCCUCUUCGAUUUUUCCUCCCUUCCGCUAACAAUCUCUCUCCCUCUCUCACGUACGCCGGAAAAGACUAGACUUUUGGUCAACAACGCGCAAAAUCCCUCUCUUUCUCUCCUUCAGCCGAUGCAACCACCCAACACCCCUUGCACUGCUGAACUCACUGGAAAUCAAGGUCAAGGGAGAUGUCAUGGCUAUGGGCUGAAGCUUUGAGAAAAAGAGAAUGAAAAAUGAAAUGUGAGAUUUUAAACUUUGAUAGUGUGUAGGGUCUUUUUGUUUGUCUAUGCAUUUUCCAAGUGAAUUUUAGUACUUUUGAUUUUUCUAUUGAUAUUUUGUUUAUGGUUGCUAUUGAGUUGCUUUGAUUGAAGGAUAGAGGGAAGUGAUUAUUGAUAAUUAUAGGGCUUGAAGAAUCCUCGAGAGAGUGACAAUGCUUGUUGAAUUUUUAUGAAAAUGCAACAUUGAAAAGGUUGAUGAGUUUCCAAUUUCAAAAGUCUACCUAAAGCUCUAUUGUUUGUUUAACUCAAAGGUAAAAAAAAGUAAAGUAUGUGGACUUGCACCGAAUAGAGCCAUGGAAUUGGUGCAAGGGUUUGAUCAAGAGGCUGCUGCAGUUGUUGGGGCAAGAUUAACUUCAUAAAAAAUGGAGAUGGAGGUUCAACCGGAGUCGACAACUUCAUGAGUUUUCUUUCAAAGAACAUUUUCAG